rnacentral:rRNA from 1 species
GGGUCAGUAGGUUGGUCGUGCCACCGGUACGUACUGGUCUCACUGAUUCCUCCUUCCUGAAGAACCGUAAUGCCAUUAAUUUGGUGUUGCGUGGAAACAGGACUGUUACUUUGAAAAAAUUAGAGUGUUUAAAGCAAGCUAACGCUUGAAUACAUUAGCAUGGAAUAAUGAAAUAGGACGAUCGAUCUUCUUUUGUUGGUUUCUAGGAUUGACGUA